UACUGGCAGGAUCAACCAGGCGACAAUAAAGAACAAGUAUCCUCUUCAACGGAUCGACGAGAUAUUCGACUAGCUCCAGGGUGCUCAGCACUUUUCGAAGAUAGAUUUGAGAUCGAGAUACCACCAGCUGCAAGUCAGAGAGCAGGAUGUGUAGAAGACAGCGUUCCGUAUGCACUACAAGCACUACGAGGUCUUAGUGAUGCCGUUUGGAUUGACGAAUGCACCAGCAGUGUUCAUGGCUUUGAUGGACAAGAUCUUCGCUCCGUACCUCGACAGCUUCACAGUUGUGUUCAUCGACGACGUGUUAGUCUAUUCGAAGUCCAGAGAGGAGCAUGAGCAGUAUUUGAGGACAUCUCUACAGUUGUUACACAAUAACAGUUGUAAGCGAAGCUCAGCA
rnacentral:misc_RNA from 1 species